rnacentral:lncRNA from 1 species
CAGCCAUUCUGAUGACGGUGUUGCUCACUAUGAAAGAGCUCGUCUAUCUCUAAAAUGGAUUCAUAGACCCUGUCUCUCAGGCGGAUCCACGGGGACUGGAUUAAGGGGCUGCGGGUGCUGUGCUGGCCCACAGAGAGCUUGGGUUUUGUUUUCCCGCUGUUGUAGAAAGAAGACCCCUUGGCUGAGCCAAUCUGAGCUGCUGAGUAUUGCAAAAAGGGGAGAUUAUUUGGCUCAGGAAGGAAUGGAAGACAUCCCACCCUCGGCGGGGAGCUUAAGCACCCUCCCUACCAAAGAGAGUAUACAAGCCCUUUGCAUUUCUAAGUUCCUAACCUUCCGGAUAAGCCCUGAAGCCUUGGGUCAGAGAAAGGGGCAGAAUGCAUGCUUAAUGUUUCUGGGGGAUGAAAAGGAGAGUUUCCCCUGGGGGGAAGGGGCAGUGAGUGGGCACCGCAAACCCCCAGGGCACCAGUGGCUGAGCUCAGCACUGAGAGAUGAAAUUGCUGGCUGAGCCCCCAUGCUUAGAAGGAUCACGGUGGCCUGAACCAGAAACUGGGUGAUAUGAGGCAGCCACAGUGGAUAGAUACAGAAGACUGUCACCCAAGCAGUGCCACACAGCAGCUAGCAGCAUGGCAUUGGCGGUAGGGAAAACAUAAACAGCGGCUUCUCUCUGUGAUGCCUGUAUCCAUCCCCAGCAUCCCUGACGACACAGCACUUCCUGGAGCAGCUGGUUUUAAUUUAACUUGAAGAAUGGAGAUGGAGUAUGAUUUGCUGCCCAGUGAGUGGAAGGGUUAGGGUUAGGGUUUGUAUUUGUCAGCAGAACUUAGAAGAGAGGGCUAUGAGUCCCUGGUGAACACCUGGGGGAUCAGGAGCAGGUUACAUUCCCCAACUGGAACCAGGCACUCUUUGCCCUGUCCACUUCUGCUGGCUCUCAGCAUCUCAGGCCUCUCGGGAAAUUCAGAGACCCGACUAUCCAGGAACAAACCAGACCUAGGCAAGCAGGAGGCCUCAGGGCAGGACUCGGACCCCAAAACACAUGUCUGGCCCUAGAGCAAGGCUGAUGGGGGAGGAGGGAGGGAGAGGCCGAGCAAGAGCAGAAGGAAAUGAGCUGCACACGUCUGCAAAGGCUCAAAAUGACUUUAGCAUUGCCAAGACAACAAGAGGUUCAAAUGUCCACAAAUUAUGUUUAUCGUGCAAAAAACCCAUUUUUUCCCACAUUGGAGAUGAGGAACAGCAAGCCAUGAUGUUAGGGGAGCCAACUGGAGUUCUGUACAGAGAAGGCUGGGCCCCGAUUGACUAACGCCUGUAAU